ensembl:lncRNA
AUUUUAACAUCGGCUGGCUUUCCAGGUGUGUGCAGGGUGAUGAUUAGCUCUACCUGCCACCCAUCACAGAACUCAGAGUUUCACCACUUCCUUCUCCAUUUUCUUUAGCUGUCAGCAUAUAGUUAAUGGGCAACAACAAAGCUCUCCAUCCAGUUCUGGGAAAUAAUAAUCAUGGUUAAUAGUUAUUGAGAACUGAUGAUUUCGUUUCUUCUUCAUACCAACGCUUGGGGUAGGCACCAUUUUAAAAGCGAUUGGAGACAGGUUAAACAACUUGCCCUCAAUCAACGGUUGGGAAGUGAAAGAACCAAGCUUCAAAUCCAGGUCUGUCUGGGUCUUGAGCCAAGCUCGAAGUCUGUGUCACAUUGCCCAGGACUCGGCUGCCAAUUCUCCCCACCUCCUCGUCCCUCACUGCUGCAUCAGCAAAUCCAGGGCUCAUGGCAGGAAGAGCAGAGAAGAGCAAAGAUGAAAACUCCUCGAAGUCACAUCUAUCCAUCCUUGCCUGGCACAGAGGAGAUGCUUCAUUUGGAUGUGUUGCUGGAGGGGAGAGGUGCAAGCAGUAUGCCAUGGGCACUCAGAGAAAGAGACUAUCUUUAUUCCUGUAAGCUUCAACUAGGGAGCUUCAAUGUUGCGCAAAUGACAGCAGAGAGAGUCAUCAGGAGCGUGAAGGGAUUCCAAGUCCAUUGCCUGUUGCCAAGCCAAGUGAAAAGCAGCUGUCGUCAGCAGAGUCAGGACUAUAAAAGUAUUCAGAGUGCUUGUGAAACAUCCCUCAAGGAUUUGUUUUUUACGAAGCCACUCUCCUUUACUCUCAAGUGACACGAAGUCCUUAUAGGUUCUACCUCCGAAAUUCUUGGAUCCCAUUUCCAAAAUAUGGCCAUGACAUAGAUUAAAGUCAAUUAUUUAACUUCACCUUGUUCAUGCCCUGAGUUGAUUUUGAACUUCUGUCUUAAUUUAUAGGCAUCAUACUUCAAUUUGUCUCUGGCAGAAUUUCUUUCCUUCUCACCCUUCAGUUUCAUCUCUGAGUAAUCUACCUACGGUCAUCUACUACAUGGUCCUUAUUUGCUAUUUCUUCCCUCCAUUUUUCCUUCUUUCCCUUCGUCCUUCCAUCUAUCCCUUUUUGUCCAUUAUCCACCCACAAAUAUUUAUUGAAAACCUACUGUAUGAAAAGCACUUACUCCUUAAGAUCUGGAUCCACACACUGUCUUUGCUUGUUAUGUCACUAAAUAUUUAACAGGUUGGUUGAGAUUUACGGCUACGUUAUCACUAAGGUUCCUUUGUUUAUAUUGAAGCAAACGUUCCUUGAAGAUAUUUCCAUUUAUGAACAGGCUGUAUAUCCAAGCUGCAUCCUAGGCCCUUAAUCCACUGCACUAUCCCCUAGCUGACAAAAUGAGCUCUUACCUCUAAAGGCUCUCACCUCUGCCCUCACCUCUGUCUUGAGCUUCUCUCUUGUUUUCCAGAAACAUUCUUCACAUUUUCUUGGAGCUUCCUUAUUUAUCUUUUGAUGAAUAUUUUCUAUCUAUCUAUCUAUCUAUCUAUCUAUCUAUCUACCUAUCUAUCUAU